GUACGGAAGCCCCAGAGAAUGGCUCUAAAUUGUUGGACCAUCCAUGAGGAUGCUGGUCCUCACAGUCAGGCUUCAGGAGAGAUCGUAUGAUGUCUUUUCCUUGUGCGUCCUCAUAUGCUGUUUUUGUAGUUUGUCUCCAGACUCGUGGGCGCCUGAAGGCAUAAUGGUUGAUGGUUGGGAAGAUGAUACUCAGAUGGAGCCGCAGCACUGUGUGUAUGCUUCUUGUCUAAGCUCUCCAGGAAGGCUGAUAUGGCAUCAUCACCAUCUGAAUUUUCAACUUCAAAUAACAAUUGCCCGAGUGGGCAUCUACUGUGUUCAGGGUACUUUGCUGAGUGUGGGUGCUUAGGACCUAAGCUAUGUAAAAUAUUGUUUCCAUCCUAUCAAGACUUAAAAUUAGUUGGUGAGCUUGACAAAACACAACACAUAGUAGGUGUAACUAGUGAGAGGAGUAUAAGAUUUCAGCUCUAAUACAUAUUGCUUCUAAACUUGAGUUUCAUGAAGCUACUGUGAAAAGGAUAGAAGGUUUUUAGAAAAAAAUAAAAUAAGGCAAUUUUGAUCAUACACACAGAAAAUGGUUUAUUGCUGGUCCUCUCAAGGCAUCCGUGG
rnacentral:lncRNA from 1 species